rnacentral:rRNA from 1 species
GGGUUGUGAGGUUAAGCGACUAAGCGUACACGGUGGAUGCCCUGGCAGUCAGAGGCGAUGAAGGACGUGCUAAUCUGCGAUAAGCGCCGGUAAGGUGAUAUGAACCGUUAUAACCGGCGAUUUCCGAAUGGGGAAACCCAGUGUGACUCGUCACACUAUCAUUAACUGAAUCCAUAGGUUAAUGAGGCGAACCGGGGGAACUGAAACAUCUAAGUACCCCGAGGAAAAGAAAUCAACCGAGAUUCCCCCAGUAGCGGCGAGCGAACGGGGAGGAGCCCAGAGCCUGAAUCAGCAUGUGUGUUAGUGGAAGCGUCUGGAAAGGCGCGCGAUACAGGGUGACAGCCCCGUACACAAAAGCGCAUGUGUUGUGAGCUCGAUGAGUAGGGCGGGACACGUGGUAUCCUGUCUGAAUAUGGGGGGACCAUCCUCCAAGGCUAAAUACUCCUGACUGACCGAUAGUGAACCAGUACCGUGAGGGAAAGGCGAAAAGAACCCCGGCGAGGGGAGUGAAAAAGAACCUGAAACCGUGUACGUACAAGCAGUGGGAGCCCCACCACUAAGCCAGUGGUGAACUCCACAUACGCAUCCUUUGCUGAAGGUGCGGUUAACGGAGCGCAAGCGACGUUCAACCUCAAAAGAAGCAGAGGGGGCUUAGUGGUGGGGUGACUGCGUACCUUUUGUAUAAUGGGUCAGCGACUU